rnacentral:rRNA from 1 species
AAUAGAUACCCUGGUAGUCCACGCCCUAAACGAUGCUCACUAGGUGUUGGGGAAGCGAUUCCUUGGUACCGUAGCUAACGCGUGAAGUGAGCCGCCUGGGGAGUACGGCCGCAAGGUUAAAACUCAAAGGAAUUGACGGGGACCCGCACAAGCGGUGGAUGAUGUGGAUUAAUUCGAUGCAACGCGAACAACCUUACCUACCCUUGACAUGUCCGGAAGCCUGCUGAAAGGCGGGGGUGCUCGAAAGAGAACCGGAACACAGGUGCUGCAUGGCUGUCGUCAGCUCGUGUCGUGAGAUAUUGGGUUAAGUCCCGCAACGAGCGCAACCCUUGUCCCUAGUUGCUACGCAAGGGCACUCUAGGGAGACUGCCGGUGACAAACCGGAGGAAGGUGGGGAUGACGUCAAGUCCUCAUGGCCCUUAUGGGUAGGGCUUCACACGUCAUACAAUGGACGGUACAGAGGGUUGCCAACCCGCGAGGGGGAGCCAAUCCCAGAAAGCCGUUCGUAGUCCGGAUCGCAGUCUGCAACUCGACUGCGUGAAGUCGG